UACAGAGGGGGCAAGCGUUGUUCGGAAUUACUGGGCGUAAAGGGCGCGUAGGCGGCCUUCUAAGUCGAACGUGAAAUCCCCGGGCUCAACCCGGGAACUGCGUCCGAUACUGGAAGGCUUGAAUCCGGGAGAGGGAUGCGGAAUUCCAGGUGUAGCAGUGAAAUGCGUAGAUAUCGAGAGGAACACCAGUGGCGAAGGCGAGUCUCUGGACAAUUCCUGACGCUGAGGCACGAAAGCUAGGGGAGCAAACAGG
rnacentral:rRNA from 1 species